AUUGAACGCUGGCGGAAUGCUUUACACAUGCAAGUCGAGCGGCAGCGCGGGGCAACCUGGCGGCGAGCGGCGAACGGGUGAGUAACACAUCGGAACGUGCCCAGACGUGGGGGAUAGCCCGGCGAAAGCCGGAUUAAUACCGCAUACGAUCUAAGGAUGAAAGCGGGGGAUCGCAAGACCUCGCGCGUUUGGAGCGGCCGAUGGCAGAUUAGGUAGUUGGUGGGGUAAAGGCUUACCAAGCCUGCGAUCUGUAGCUGGUCUGAGAGGAUGAUCAGCCACACUGGGACUGAGACACGGCCCAGACUCCUACGGGAGGCAGCAGUGGGGAAUUUUGGACAAUGGGCGAAAGCCUGAUCCAGCCAUUCCGCGUGCAGGACGAAGGCCU
rnacentral:rRNA from 1 species